AAGUCGAGCGGACAGAUGGGAGCUUGCUCCCUGAAGUCAGCGGCGGACGGGUGAGUAACACGUGGGCAACCUGCCUGUAAGACUGGGAUAACUCCGGGAAACCGGGGCUAAUACCGGAUGAUUCUUUCCCUCACAUGAGGGAAAGCUGAAAGAUGGUUUCGGCUAUCACUUACAGAUGGGCCCGCGGCGCAUUAGCUAGUUGGUGAGGUAACGGCUCACCAAGGCGACGAUGCGUAGCCGACCUGAGAGGGUGAUCGGCCACACUGGGACUGAGACACGGCCCAGACUCCUACGGGAGGCAGCAGUAGGGAAUCUUCCGCAAUGGACGAAAGUCUGACGGAGCAACGCCGCGUGAGUGAUGAAGGUUUUCGGAUCGUAAAACUCUGUUGUUAGGGAAGAACAAGUACCGGAGUAACUGCCGGUACCUUGACGGUACCUAACCAGAAAGCCACGGCUAACUACGUGCCAGCAGCCGCGGUAAUACGUAGGUGGCAAGCGUUGUCCGGAAUUAUUGGGCGUAAAGCGCGCGCAGGCGGUUCCUUAAGUCUGAUGUGAAAGCCCCCGGCUCAACCGGGGAGGGUCAUUGGAAACUGGGGAACUUGAGUGCAGAAGAGAAGAGUGGAAUUCCACGUGUAGCGGUGAAAUGCGUAGAGAUGUGGAGGAACACCAGUGGCGAAGGCGACUCUGUGGUCUGUAACUGACGCUGAGGCGCGAAAGCGUGGGGAGCAAACAGGAUUAGAUACCCUGGUAGUCCACGCCGUAAACGAUGAGUGCUAAGUUGUUAGAGGGUUUCCGCCCUUUAGUGCUGCAGCAGACACAUUAAGCACUCCGCCUGGGGAGUACUGCCGCAAGCUGAAACUCAAGAAUUGACGGGGGGCCCGCACAAGCGGUGGA
rnacentral:rRNA from 2 species